rnacentral:rRNA from 1 species
GCCCGAAGUCGCCUAGCCAACCCGUAAGGGAGGUAAGCGCCGAAGGUGAACUCCGCGAUUGGGACUAAGUCGUAACAAGGUAGCCGUAAGUGAACCUGCAGAAGGAUCA